rnacentral:rRNA from 2 species
GUCGAGCGGAUGAGUGGAGCUUGCUCCAUGAUUCAGCGGCGGACGGGUGAGUAAUGCCUAGGAAUCUGCCUGGUAGUGGGGGACAACGUUUCGAAAGGAACGCUAAUACCGCAUACGUCCUACGGGAGAAAGUGGGGGAUCUUCGGACCUCACGCUAUCAGAUGAGCCUAGGUCGGAUUAGCUAGUUGGUGAGGUAAAGGCUCACCAAGGCGACGAUCCGUAACUGGUCUGAGAGGAUGAUCAGUCACACUGGAACUGAGACACGGUCCAGACUCCUACGGGAGGCAGCAGUGGGGAAUAUUGGACAAUGGGCGAAAGCCUGAUCCAGCCAUGCCGCGUGUGUGAAGAAGGUCUUCGGAUUGUAAAGCACUUUAAGUUGGGAGGAAGGGCAGUAAGUUAAUACCUUGCUGUUUUGACGUUACCAACAGAAUAAGCACCGGCUAACUUCGUGCCAGCAGCCGCGGUAAUACGAAGGGUGCAAGCGUUAAUCGGAAUUACUGGGCGUAAAGCGCGCGUAGGUGGUUCGUUAAGUUGGAUGUGAAAGCCCCGGGCUCAACCUGGGAACUGCAUCCAAAACUGGCGAGCUAGAGUAUGGCAGAGGGUGGUGGAAUUUCCUGUGUAGCGGUGAAAUGCGUAGAUAUAGGAAGGAACACCAGUGGCGAAGGCGACCACCUGGGCUAAUACUGACACUGAGGU